rnacentral:rRNA from 1 species
CAGCAGCCGCGGUAAUACGUAGGGUGCAAGCGUUAAUCGGAAUUACUGGGCGUAAAGCGUGCGCAGGCGGUUAUAUAAGUCAGAUGUGAAAUCCCCGGGCUCAACCUGGGAACUGCAUUUGAGACUGUAUGGCUAGAGUGUGUCAGAGGGGGGUAGAAUUCCACGUGUAGCAGUGAAAUGCGUAGAUAUGUGGAGGAAUACCGAUGGCGAAGGCAGCCCCCUGGGAUAACACUGACGCUCAUGCACGAAAGCGUGGGGAGCAAACAGGAUUAGAUACCCGUGUAGUCCCUGUCUCUUAUAC